AUAUAGUUAUUCAUGAACUUACGAUGACCACUGGCAUCAUACUCGAGGAAUUGACUCAUAAUAUUCCCCAAACUUUUAGUCAAAUUUUGCGAAGCAAAACCCAUCCGAAGAUCAUGGAUCUAAACCAUAAAUCUGUAUGCAGAAACUCAACCUGCUCCAGAUCUUCUCCUUUUUCUAGUUUAUGAAUCAAUAACAAAACCC
rnacentral:lncRNA from 1 species